GAUGAACGCUAGCGGGAGGCUUAACACAUGCAAGUCGAGGGGCAGCACGAUGUAGCAAUACGUUGGUGGCGACCGGCGCACGGGUGAGUAACACGUAUGUAACCUACCCUGUACAGGGGGAUAACCCGGAGAAAUUCGGACUAAUAUCCCAUAAUGAUAUUAAGGGGCAUCCUUUGAUAUUUAAAGCUUCGGUGGUACGGGAUGGGCAUGCGGAACAUUAGCUAGUUGGUGGGGUAACGGCCUACCAAGGCUACGAUGUUUAGGGGACCUGAGAGGGUGAACCCCCACACUGGUACUGAGACACGGACCAGACACCUACGGGUGGCAG
rnacentral:rRNA from 1 species